rnacentral:lncRNA from 1 species
CACACAUGUCUGUUUGAUCUAGAAAUGGAGACUAUUUUUGAUCUGUAAUUCCACUUUUUUCCAAAAUGAAAAAUAGCUUUAUUAUUAUUAUUGUUAUUAUUAUUUAUUCUGAUGAUAAAGGUAUGUAGCAGAAACUGUCAGUACCCCGUGAAUAUCUACAUGGUCCUUUCCAUUUGAGAGCACUGUAGCCUACCUGCUGAACUUUCAACUCCCCGCCUCUCUUUGCCUAAAAGCUUUCUCUGGCCCACUGCCCCCAGUCCCUGGCCCAGCAGCCUUCAACCAAUGACUGGAGGACACAUACACACACCUCAGCUCCCUCCCCGUCAGGUGAGAUAACUCAGCAGCAUGUGCUGUGCUCUGGCUCCCAGGUUCCAUCACGGCCAUGAAGCCCUGCUUGUCCACAUUGGAAACUGGCUUAAUAAUGUACCUCUUUUAGCUGCCUUCCCUUCCUCUGUCAUUUCUUUUCUCUCCAUUUUACGUAUUUUGAAUGACUAAACUCCCCUGAAUAUUUCUUAUAUUCACACCUGUGUCUUAGAGACUGCUUGCAAAGAAGCCAAAUAGAGACAAGAAAAACUAAUGAAAACAGAAAAAUCAGAAAAUAUUGAGCUACAGAAAGAAGAAAAUGAAAAUCAUCAAUAAUCUAAACACCAUUUGUAAUCACUACUAAUGUUUUAAUCUCUAUCCUUCCAGACAUUUUUUUUUAAUGCAGUCACUUUUUUUUUUAAAUGGAAAUAAAAUGAUAAUGACAAGUAAAUUAUGACUUUUUUCAUGGCUGGAAAACAGUCCAUUCCAAAAGAGUUAAGAUUGGAUUUGAAGCCCAGCUCUGACACUUACUCUCCAAGUGAGCUUAUUCAAGCCCUUUGUGUCUUAGAUUCCUCAGCUGUGAAGUUAGAAUAAGGACAUUAUCUAUUACAUGGUGUUGAAGUGAAGAUUAAACACAAUACACAUACAUAACACAGAAG